rnacentral:lncRNA from 1 species
ACAAAUUGAACUCUACAAAGAAUCACAAUUUGGGUUCCUCUCUGCGACCUAGGGUUUCAUUCUCCUUCUCAUCAAGGUAAACUCUAAACUUAUAAUAAAUUAUUUUGAAAUUGGGCAAUUUUUUCUCUCUCUCUCUGUUUUUCAAAUAUUGAGUUUCUUUUUAUAAUUACAUAUUAUGAAUAUUGAUAUUGAAUGUACAGAAGUUGUUUCGUUAUUUCCGUUGAACUUUGCUCCUUGCAUAAUAGCUGUGUGUUUUAAUCUUUCGAGCAGAUUAAUUUUUGAAAUUGGGUCUUAUUACUGGAGAAAAAGCUUUUCAGUAGCUGGUUAUGAUUGUAUUGUAAACUUUCUCUAGUGAAAUUAGGGAAGGGCAUAAAAUUCUAGAAACCCAAAAACGUGUUAGAAGGGGAAAUGUAGCAGUCGUCAAGUUCUCAAGUCAUAAUGGAGCCUACCAAGAAUAUUUUGGUUCUUCUAAAACCAACUUCGCCAUACUUGCUCCAUUUUAGGCACAAAUAUUUGAAUCAGAUAAAUUAUUGGCUUCAUAUAAACUGCCUAAAGUCUAUUUCUUAUAAUUACCAAUUGUCCUUGAAAAUCUGUUUUAAUAUGCAGCUAGAAUAGGGUGAAUUAAUGUCUAUGAACAAAUAAGUUGUAAGAAAUUAGCUAAUUUACCCGCAAAAUAGGAAUCAAAUUAAUUCGAUUCUUCGAUACAGGUUCUUCGGUUUUAGGUACGGUCUUCAGUAUUGAGAUAUGAAUAUUUUGGUUCUUCGGUUAGGUAUUCGGUAUUAAUGUUUUGUAUACUAUUUCACUGAAAUAAUAAAAUUAAGCUGGAGGAAUGUUUGUUUAUCUGCUACUACUACCUCAAUUCAAUGCCAUGUUCUGUUUAUUGCAUAUACUUUUACUGAUCUUUAUAAAUAGAAAAUAUUUUUUGUCUAUCAUUAACUAAGAAUAUUGAUCUUCAAUAGCUACUAAAAGAUGUAUACUUACUGCAUCUAAUAAAUUAGCAAGAAUAAUAUGUGAUUAUCUAGACUCAAAGUAUGUAGAAUAACUUCUACUUCGAACCCCUUAAACAAUAAGUAGAAUUCCAGAAUUUUGCCGCAUUUCCAUUUUGUGAGUUUGUAUAAUUCGUUGGUUUACUAGAUGACGUCUUAUUUGUUAGCUUGCUUUCAUUUUGCUAUAUGAAUUUGGUAGGAUUGUUGUAUGAAAACAGACAGUUGCUGCUGCAUUUUUAUUGAAAUUUGUCAUGCAAAUUUGUUAUGUAAAUUGAUAAACCAAAACCGUACCAAAAUCGUUCUGAACCAAAUAAGAAAUAACAAACUAUACCGAACUACUUUGGUACGGUAUUUGAUAUUUAUAAUUAAUAAAUCAAAUACCGAAAUACCAAAUCGAAGUUAUCAGCGCUCACCCCUAAGUUAGAUAAGAAUUCACUAACUUUAUACCUAAUUAUAUUAGCUGGAGACAGAAGAAAGAAUUUUUUGGAUCUGGUCAUGAUUGUAUUUUAAAACAAGUCUUAGGUUUAUUCUCCUCUAUUGUUAAAGCUAAGUUUCUGCAUUGAUUUUGAAUCCUCCUGUUGUGUUAUUUUUCUUCUCCUUGUUCUUUAUCUGUCGAUGACCAUGGUGUUAUCUAUAUGAUUUUUAUAUAAGAUAUGGACAGAACAACAAUCCAAGAAAUAUUUUGCUUUUGAUGUGCAAGAAUCAACAUUAUAGUUUUUCUAAUAGAAAAUCUAGUUUAUUUUCUUCAACUAUUAUCUCCUAUGACUAUUUACCAUAACAGAGUGUCGAAGAUAACUCGAAGCUGUACUUGUCGUAUAUGUCGGGGAACAUAAAGACUUAUUUCAUUAUGUCAAUCUAGUUAGCUACUUAAAUUUAAAGUAAAAAAAGAAAAUGGAAACCGGGGACAACGUGAAUAAUUAAGAUUAUAAUUGUGUUAUUAAUUUUGGAUCUUUUAUCUAAAGAAAAUGUAAUUGUGACACUAGCAGUUAUUUUUUUUUAUGUUCGUGUUCCUGCUAAUGUGGUAAUUAUGGUAAUUGCAUUGUUGAAGAAUUCUUUGGUGAUUUCUCUUUGGUGCUCUUUGGUUUUGGCUGCUAGGCAUUAGUUUUGGCUAUUUUCCAUCCUCACAAUCUACUUAUUUAUGAUCGGCCAAUUUGAAACCUGUGAAAAAUAUAAGUUUCUCUUGCUGUAAAAAAAAUCCUUUUGUUCUAUCAAUUAAAAUGGUUUGGGUUGUGCUAUGGACUUGGAUGUUUGAGACAUCAUUGUGGUGCUUUUAGAAAAGACUGCUCUGCAAUUUUGUAUAAUUUCUGAACUUAUUGGCAAUACCUAAAGUUUUUGAAAUAGAAAAAAUCAGGAAUAAUACACUGUACCCUAUAGCUCAACUUCAUCGACUAGCUUCGUGGAUAACCUGUCACGAUUCGGAUUUAGGCAAGCCAAUUAUUCCAAAUAUGCAAUCCUUUUCAUCUCUAAUCCAUUAACACUUGCAAAUUAACAUUAUACAAACAACAAAAUAAUAAAGCGGAAAAGUGAAAUGUAACUAUAUAAUAAUACCGAUACAAAUCCAUAUUAAAAGCUACUUAGAAUUGUGUCACAAUUUCGCAGAUGGUCUAGGAUUACUACAAAUAGAGGUCCGAAAGAUAAAUAUAAAGCUAAUUCUGGGAUAUAUAAAAGAAAUAGUAUGGAAAGAGAGAAGGAAACGCCAAGGUCUGCGAACGCCUGUAGGACUACCUCGGGUCGCUUGAUGGACUAAAGGCAACAACCUCACUGUGGUCCAAAAGCUACAGCACCGGGAUCUGCGCAUAGAGCAGAUUAUAUUAUUAGCACAACCGACCCCAUGUGCUGGUAAAUGCCUAGCGUUACCCCGGUGAAGUAGUGACGAGGCUAGGACCAGAAUACCAAAUACACCUGUGCAGUCAAAUCAUAUACAGUGAAAAAUAAAGGCAGACAUUGAAAAUUAAAGAUAGGAGGGGGAACACACUGCAGAAAUAUCAGGUAGCAACAGAAAAUCAAUAGAAGAAUGUAAAGAGAACCAUAAAUCAAUUAUCAACAAGAAUCAAGAAAUCAAAGACAAGUGCACGGAAUCACCUUUCGUGCUUUUACUCUCGUCCUCACCAUAAGAAUCAAUAUAAUUUGUACGACAUCACCCUUCGUGCUUUUACCUCACAUAAUCAUGUAACAGGAUGAUUCUUCAUGAAUUAUAACUCAUAUCAUGGCACGAUAUUAUACAUCGUGCGAUACGACAUCACCUUUCGUGCUUGUACCUUACAAUAUCUGCACGAUAUCAUCCUUCGUGCAUUAACACUCUUAAAAUCAUACACUGUAUCAUCCUUCGUACUUUACACUCUUCCACACCUAAGUAACAAUCACAAAACAAUUUGGGCAAGGGAAUCAAUAAUUUCACAACAAGAUCCCAGCAAGAGAAACAAUAUAAUGAGUAAUAACUUCCCGGCAAGGGAGAUAAUAUCAAAAGCAAUAACAUCUCGGCAAGGGAUACAAUAUCAUAAACCUCUUCUAUUUUCCAAAAUUACUUCACAACUCAAUUAUCAACUAGAGCUAACACUCCACAAUGUUCAAUUACCAACAACACUUACACAAGCCUUGUUCAACAAUAGAAAUGAUCAUAUUAAAGCAUGAACAAUACGAAUAGAGUCACAUUAAUUAUAGUAUAGGAUCUCACGUGCAUGCUUAACAUCGACGUAUAGAUACUUGUCACCAUGCCUAUACGUCGUACUCGACAAUUAACACAUAGCAAAUAAGACAUGACUCUUAAUCCCUCAAGCUAAGGUUAUACCAAAUACUUACCUCAUGCCACAAAACAUAACUCAAGCCUCAACAACCACUUUACCUCUUGUUUCCACUACCAAUUCGCUUGUAUCUAGCCACUAUUUACUUAACGAUAUUAAUAAAUGCUAAAUGAAUCAAUUCUAAUGCAUAAAAAUUGGUUUUCUAAUAAUUUUUCCAAAAAGUCAAAAAAUUAACCCGAACCCCCAUGGACAAAAUCCGAGGUUCGAACCAAAACCCGUUUAUCCAUUCACCCAUAAACUCAAAUAUAUAAUUUGUUUUGAAACUGGAACUUAAAUCGAGCUCCAAAUCCCUAAAAUUUGAAAAUCUUAGGUCCUACCCAAAACACCUAAUUUUCUCCAUGAAAACUCUUGAUUUUGGAUUGAAAUCAUGUGAAAAGACGUUAUAGAUUAAAUAAGAUAAGUUAGAAACAACUUACAAUUGAUUUGGAGAUGAACUAUUCUUUAGAAAAUCGUCCAAGAGAGCUUAGGGUUUGAGAGAGUUUGAAAAAUGAAGAAAAAUACGAGUAUGUCUAAAUUAACUAGUCGCAGAUGUCGCAAUUGCGACCAGGGUUCCAAAAUUGCGAACCCCUUCAGGACCUGUUGUCUCCGCAAAAUGGGAAGAAUAUGUCGCAUUUGCAAUCAAGGAAAAUCCAGUCACAUUCGCAUUUCCGAGGGACCUGUUGCAUUUGCGACAUCUCUAUGGCCAGAAAUGGUCACAUUUACGACCAAGGCCUGUUCAGACGUGGUUCGCAUUUAUGACAAUAAGGUCGCAACUACCAAGCCUGUCCUCUUUGCCUGAUCUCGCAAUUGCGAGAUCAGAGGCCUGGGAAAAAAAUACUAAAUACCAGUACUUGCUCCAAGGUCCAAUUUCACUCCGUGGCCUAUCCAAAACUCACCCGAACCCUCAGGGCUCCAAACCGAGCAUGCAUGCAAGUCCAAAAAUAUUAUACGAACUUGCACAUGCGAUCAAAUCAUCAAAAUAUCAACAACUAUGAAUUAAACCUCAUAUUUAUGAAAUCACUCAAGAACAUCAAAAUUACUAUUUUCUCAACUAUAUGUCCAUUUUAUACCAAACCAACUCCGAUCUUUACCAAAUUUUACAAAUUCAUCUUAAUUAUUAUUUAAAACUUGUACUGUGCUCCGAAACCUAGAUACAGGCCCAAUAACAUCAAGAAUUACAUCAAUUCACUUCUAAAAAGCUUUAUAUUUUUCAUCAAAUAAUAUUUGUUAAAAAUUAAUUUUUUGGGCUUGGGACAUUGGAAUUCAACUCCGGGCAUAUGCCCAAGUGUCAAAUUUUAUUGCAAACCGUACGAGAUCGUCGGAUCACAGGUCCCGGUCUGUUUAGCAAGAAUGUUGAUCAAAGUCAACUUUAUUUAAUUUUAAAAGCCAAUUUAGCAUUUUCAUCAAAUUCCCAUAUAAAAACAUCUAGAUAUGUGCUCCGAGCGCAAACAAAUCGAGGUGAGGUAAAAGGAGGCUUCUAAGGCCUCAGAACACAAAAUUUACUUGCAAUAGAAGUGAUAACCUUUUGGGUCAUCACAUUCUCCACCUCUAAAAUAACCGUACGUCCUCGUUGAUAUAAGAAAGAAGUGCCUGAGUCAGAGAAAAGAUUCUGUAUCGGACUCGGACUGCCAGGUCUCUGCCUCAACUGGGUAACCUCUCCACUGAACACAAGCCGAAGGGAAGCUCUUCGAUCUCAACUGACGAAUAUGCCGGUCUACAGUAGCUAUCGGCUCCUCCUAAUAGAACAAGUCCUUUUCCAACUGGACAAUACUGAAGUCUAACACGUGGGAUGGAUUGCGGUGAUACUUCUAAAGCAUGGACACAUGGAACAUUGGAUGCAUGGCUGAUAAACUCUGCGACAUCAAAAGUCUGUAAGACACCUCUCCCACUCGAUCAAGAAUCUCGAAAGGACCAAUGAAUGUUGGGCUUAACUUGCCCUUCUUCCCAAAUCUCAUUGCGCCCUUCAUCGGUGACACUCGAAGCAACACCCGCUCACCGACCAUGAAUGACACAUCAUGAACUUUACGGUCGGCAUAACUUUUUUGCAUGUACUGAGUUGUACGAAGCCUAUCCUGAAUGAUCUUGACCCUAUCGAAGGCAUCCUGCACUAGAUCUGUACCCAACAACCGGGCCUCUCCCGGCUCAAAACACCCAAUCGGUGGUUGACACCGCCAACCAUGAAAAGACUCAUAAGGAGCCAUCUAGAUGCUAUACUGGUAUUUUGUUGUAGGAAAAUUCCGCUAAAGGAAAAAACUAAUCCCAUGAGCCUCCAAAGUCAAUAAUCAAGCUCGAAGAAUAUCCUCCAAAAUCUGAAUAGUAUGCUUGGACUGCCCGUCUAUUUGAGGAUGAAAUGCUGUGCUCAACUCACGCUAAACUGCCCUCAAGAAAUGUGAGGUAAACUACGUACCCUGAUUAGAAAUGAUCGACGCGGGCACACCUUAAAGACGAACAAUAUCUCGGAUAUAGAUCUCAGCUAACCUCUCAGAAGAAUAGGAGACUGCCUCAGGAUUGAAAUGUGCUGACUUGGUUAGCCUUUCAACAAUAAUCCACACUGCAUCGAACUUCCUCUAAGUCCGUGGGAGUCCAACAACAAAGUCCAUAGUGGUAUGAUCCCACUUUCUCUUAGGAAUAUCAAUCUUCUAGAAUAUACCACCAAGUCUCUGAUGCUCGUACUUUACCUGCUGACAAUUCAAACACCAAGCCAGGUAUGCAAAAAUAUCCUUCUUCAUGCUCCUCCAUCAAUAAUGCUGCCGUAAAUCCUGAUACAUCUUAGUGGCGCCCAGAUGAAUAUAGUACCAGGAACUAUGGGCCUCCUCUUAAAUCAACUCUCGAAGUCCAUCCACAUUAGGCACAUAAAUACGACCCUGCAUCCUCAAAGCUCCAUCAUCUCAAACUGCAACUUGCUUGGAGCCUCCGUGCUGCAUCGUGUCUCGAAGGACACAUAAAUGAGGAUCGUCAUACUCUCGGAUAUGCUCAAAUAAUGAAGAAAAAGCAACGGUGCAAGAUAACACACGGCUGGGCUCAGAAACAUCCUCAUGAACUGGUUGGCCAAAGCCUGAACAUCCAAAGCAAGUAGUCUCUGAGCGACCGAAAUAUAUGCAUGACUUGCCAUGCUGUCUGACUUUCUACUCCAAGCAUCGACCACCACAUUGGCCUUUCGCGGAUGAUAUAAGAUGGUGAUAUCAUAGUUCUUCAAUAGCUCCAACCACUUUCUUUGCCUCAAAUUUGGCUCCUUCCGCUUGAACAAGUACUAAAUACUCUUAUGAUCCGUGAACACCUCACAUGACACACCAUACAGAUAAUGCCUCCAAAUCUUCAACACGCGAACAAUGGCUUCUAACACCAAAUCAUGAACUGGAUAAUUCUUCUCAUGAAUCUUCUACUGUCAUGAAUCAUAAGCAAUGACCUUGCUAUCAUGUAUCAAACCGCACAAAGUCCAAUAUGAGAUGCAUCACAAUAAGCUGUAUAUGGAUCUGAACUUGUGGGCAAAACCAAUACCGUCACCAUAGUCAAAACUCUCUUAAGCUUCUGAAAGCUCGCCUCACACUCAUGCAACCACCUAAACUGGGCACCCUUCUAGGUCAACCUGAUCACAGGGGCUGCAAUAGAUGAAAACCCUUCCACAAACCGACAGUAAUUACCCGCUAGAUCCAAGAAACUCCAAAUCUCUGUAGCUGAUGCGGGUCUAGGCCAGUCCUUGACUGCCUCUAUCUUCUUCAGAUCUACUUUAAUACUCUUUGCUGACACAAUAUGACCCAAGAAAGCACUGAUCCCAACCAAAACUCGCACUUCAAAAACUUAACAUACAACUAACUAUCUUUCAAAGUCUGAUGAAAAACUCUCAAAUGCUACUCAUGCUCCUCCCGGCUGUGGGAAUAAAUCAAAAUAUCAUCAAUGAAGACUAUCACGAACGAAUCCAAGUGAGGCUUGAACACUCGGUUCAUCAAAUCCAUAAAAGCCGCUGGGGCAUUUGUCAACCCAAAUAACACCAUCAAGAACUCAUAACGCCCAAACCAAGUACAAAAAGCUAUCUUAGGGACAUCGCAUGCGCUAAUCCUCAACUGAUGGUAGCCAGAUCUCAAGUAAAUCUUUGAAAAUACCGUGGCACCCUGAACCUGAUAAAAAAAAUCAUUAAUCCUCGGCAAUGGAUACAUGUUCUUGAUUAUAACCUUGUUCAACUGCCGGUAAUCUAUGCACAUCCUCAUUAGUCCGUCCUUCUUCUUAACAAACAACAGCGACGUACCCUAGGGCGAGACACUAGGUUUAAUGAAGCCCUUAUCAAGUAAAUCCUGCAGCUUCUCCUUCAAUUCUUUCAACUCUGGUGGGGCCAUACGAUACGAUGGAAUAGAAAUGGGUCGAGUUCCGGGAGCCAAAUAAAUGAUAAAGUCAAUAUCCCUGUCUGGUGGCAUACCCAUCAGGUCUGAAAGAAAUACCUCAGGAAACUCACAAACAAUAGGCGCAAAAUCCAUAGAAGAAACCUCGACACUAGAAUAACAAACAUACGCCAAAUAGGUGAAAUAUCCUUUAUCAACCAUACGCCAAGCCUUCAUAUAUGAGAUAACCCUACGGGUAGAAUGACUAAAAGUUGCUCUCUACUCUAAACGAGGCAACUCUAGCAAGGCUAAGGUCACAGUAAUGACAUGAUAGUACAAGAUAGAGUGGUAGGGUGGUAACCAAUCCAUUCCUAAUAUGACAUCAAAAUCAAUCAUAUCCAAACGUAAUAAGUCUACUCGGGUCUCAAGACCCCUAAUUGCAACUACACAAGAAGAAUGAACAUGAUUUACCACAAUAGAAUCACUCACCAGUGUAGACACAUAUACAUGAGCACUUAAAGAAUCACUAGGCAUGAUCAAGUAUGGUGCAAAGUAAGAUGACAUAUAUGAGUAUGUAGACUUUGGAUCAAAUAGUACUGAAGCAUCCUUACUAUAAACUAGAAUAGUACUUAUGAUAACUGCAUCGGAAGCUUUAUCCUCAGGUCUGGCUGGAAGAUCAUAACAUCGGGGUUGGGCCUCACAACUCUGAAUUACAUCUCUGGGAUGGCCUUCCCCUGGCUGGCCUCAACCUCUAGCGGAUGGAUCUCCAGCUUUAAUACAUCUACCUCCACCUCUAGCACCUCUAUAGCUGGUUGAGCUUUAAUUACAUCUCUGGAACACUCGAUUCCUGGACCAUGGUACGGGAACAUUGAUGCUGAGAGCUGCUCGAUGCUCGAGGGCAAAGUCUAGCGAUAUGUCUCAUAUUGCCACAAAUAUAACAAGCCCUCAACUUUAUAACAAGCCCUCAGCUAUUGGGGCUGCUUACUAACGGCCUGAAUGACCACCCUGAAAACUCUGGAGCAACGGUGCACUAAUAGGAGUUGGUAGUGCAUUCUAGGGAAACUAAUAAGAAUACUGCAUAUGAGAACUACGGUCACCUGGUGCACCAUGAGAAGCUUGAAGUGCCGAAUGAAAUGGCAUAGAAGAAUGGCCCCUACCAAAAAAAUCCCUGCCUCCAGAUGAGGCACCACCAAAUCAGCCGAAUGAAGAGGCUUCUUGUCAUGCCCUGACCACUCCCCUGUGAUAGAACCAUCUCAACUCUCCUGGCCACAUUGGCCGCAUCCUGAAAAGAAAUCCGCUCCCCAUCUUAUUAGCCAUAUGCAAUCGAAUUAGGUGAAUGAGUCUAUCAGUGAAUCUCCUUACUCACUCUCUCUCAAUGGAAAGUAUAAGAAGAGCAUGACGGGCCAAGUCAAUAAAUCUGGUCUCGUACUGAGCAACGGUUAUAGAACCCUGCUGGAGACGCUGAAAUUGCCUCCGAUAGUUCUCCCUCUAAGUGAUAGGAAGAAACUUCUCCAGAAAUAAUUGAGAGAACUGAUCCCAAAUGAAAGCUGGUGACCCAGCUGUUCUAGCCAAACAAUAAUCUCUCCAACAAGUCUUGGCGGAUCCAGACAAGCGAAAAGCAACAAAGUCAACCCUAUUGGUCCCCACUUCCGAAGAACCUCAUGACAGCUGUCCAAAUAAUCUUAGGGAUCCUCAAAAGAUGUACCACCAAAAGUAGUAGUAAAAAGCUUGGUGAACCUGUCCAAUCUCCACAAGGCAUCAGUAGACAUAGCUGGCCCCUCUCCGGUCUAUGCCACAAUACCAUGCUGAACUACCCCAACCGACUGAGCUGCUAGAGUCUAAGAUUGGGGAGCCAUGUACUCUGGAGUGUGAGUAGAAGGUGUCUAGGCUCCUCCUCCAGCCUUAGAAAUGGCGGGUGCUACAGGAAGAAAGCCCGCAUGCGCGACACUCUCCAUAAGGCCCACUAGACGGACCACAUCAUCCUGAAGUACCGGGUGUCACACCUCCUUUUACUACUAUAGCCCGGAAGGGUAUAAAGGGGGUUUUCCAAUUAAAGACAAUCGGAACAGAAUUAGAUUAUUAAAAGAUACAGAGCCACCACUUGGGAGAUUUAUGGUGUGCCAAGUCACCAAUUUAUAUCCCAAAUUGAGGAAAAGUUUGACUAUGUUUAAUAGUCCGCCAACCAGAAAUUCGGGUAUGGAAUAUGUUAACCCGGGAGAAGGUGUUAGGCACUCCCGAGUUCCGUGGUUCUAGCACGACCGUUCAACUGUUAUAUUCGGCUUAAUUAUCUAAUUUUUGUACGUGUUCAAACCUAUGUGCAUUUUAACUUUUAACUGCUUUGUUUAAUUUUCUUAGGAAAAUUACAAUGUUGUUAAAAUACGUCUUGAACCAUGUCACAUAAAUGCACUUGCGGUCUUUGACAUAUUUUAACAUUGUUGAGAUUUGGAUUUGGGUCACAUAAAUGCGCACCCUAAUUUAAGAAGGUAAUAUUAUUAAAAUGACGCGCCUAAAGCCACUACACGUUUGCAAUUUGGGAGAGCCAUAGAAAUUUACUAAAUGGCGCGCCUCAAAUUCUAAAGGAUAAACAAGAUUGAUUAAAAUGAGGGCCAUGCAAUUGUCAUUUUUGUUUGACAUGGCGCACCUCAACUAAAUUUCUUCACAUGUAUUUGGUCCAAGUCGAGAUCAGCGAGAGCAACGCCUAACAAGAUUCGCACACAUGAAAGAGUCAAGUAAAAGGACCUCAGGACAAUCAAAUACAAUCAUUAAAUUAGCACAAUCAAGCAGCCAAGUAAGCAUAUAAAUAUGUUGUUUCCUGGAAACAUUUUAGUCUUGCACUAACUGACAAAAUUGGAAGGCCAGAAGUGGGAGUUCCUUUUCAGGAUAAAGCUCAAAAUGAUCUAAUUUCCUGUGCAGCCAAAUCAACUGAUGCAAUGGCCCCAAGAUUUGAAUCUGACUUAAACGAUGAACAACAGAAGUUUAAGAAAACUGUUGAUGAGUAUAGAUAGAAGUCCAGCAGGGAUAUACAUGCUCAUAAGGGUAAGUCGAACGAGCUUAUGGACAAAACAACUGUUAAGGAGGAAGAAGGGAAUGAAAAUUCCUUGGAGCCUAGAUCUGCUAACAAAUCAGCCGAUGCAACAGUUAAAUCAAAGAAAGAUGUCUUUGAUGAUGCUAUAAAAGAACUUCACAAUCGUUGAAUGUAACAACAUGCACCGCCACAAUCGCCCAUGAAAGUUGGAAUUGGUAAAAACCUUUACUUAACUCCGCUUAAAUAAUAAACACACCCGAAAUCCAGAAGCUAAUAUUGAUCCAAAAGCAGCAAGGUCAAGUAGAAGUCAUAAAGUCUGGAUAGAAAUCUUAAGCAAACACCUGGUUUCGAUGCUCAAAAGCAAAACCAACUAAUCUUCAACCAAACACAAUUUUGAACGAGGAAUCACAAGGCUAAAUGCUGGGAAAAAUUUUUCUAUGACUUCUCUUGGAAUAAAACUAAACUAAACUCAAAAGAGACGAACCCAGACUAUGCUUCUUUUGUUUCUGUUUUCCUUUUGUGGAAAAAUGCAAACUAGAGCUGGCACACACACAUGAGUAAAGUUUCAGCCAAAACAUAAAUUAAUCCAUGAGACGCUCCUUUAAAUCACGUUAUAAUCUUGGGGCAGAACAUAACAAACGCAACACAUAUGACUCACGGGUUGCAACAGAAGAAUAUAGUGUGAGUAUGGAAGGUGAGGGGAUGACCUUAAGUGUUUUCUUUGUUUAGAAGUUCACUAUGAAGUGAGGGUAUUGCAUUUGAAUGAACUUGAAAAAAAAUGUUAAAACCUCAGACACUUAGCAAGAUAUUUGUUUCCAAACUUAGAUGGACAAGAGUUUGAUUCAACAAUCUGAACAACAAAACCUCAAAACAAUAGAGCUUUAACAAGUUGCUAAUAGUAAAAUGAUGAGGAUAGCUUCAAACACUAGAUCGCUUUAAGUGGACAAGACAAACUUUAGCAUACUCGAGCUAAUGGACUAAUGAACAAAGGACUCUGACAUCCUUCUUAUGAGAGCUUACUCAAACAGAAACCAACAACACCUCAAAUGCAUCGCUUCAUACUUACACUAUCACAUUCAGAAUCAAGCAAAACCCUGAUUCAAAUUCCCAGUUUUAGAGAAGCUUAUGCUAACAGACUAAACAACCAUAACAGGGCAGCUUUGCAAACAUUAAGCGAACCAUUUGACUUAAAAUAACACUAAUGUGAUGUCUUCAAAAAUCCAUACCAUCUCAAAUCUAAAAGAAAAGGUUUAUUUGAAAGCAACAAAAUCUUGACUCAAAUGAAAAACUCGACACCAUAAUAACAGUUAAAGCAUAUGAACAUAGAGAAUGACCCUUCAAACUCAACUUUUACUAACUGAACAUAUUUAUAUACAUCACACUAUUGAGAAUAGAUUCAUUCAACAAGAAAUUCAAUCACAACACGAAACAGACCACUCUAGACUGAAUCUCAUAGCUCAAAAACACAGAAACAAAAAAAGAGUUGCAUAGAUAAAAGAGAGGAAAAUUGAACCUGAAGUUACAAAUCUCCUUUAUAACAAUUAUCAACUUGACAAUACAACUCCUGAUUCCAAAUCCUAGCAAGGUUCAACAACAAAUCAGCAAGACGACAGUAGAAAACCAAGCUCGAACUUCAAUUUGUAUCUCCUUGGAACUCAAAUCCGGAUUCAAAAAUAAAAAUUGUACGUAUGUUUCUCUAAAACUUUGAAAGAACUCGCCAAGAAGAAAAAUAAACCUAGAAAAACCAUCAGUUCCAGAAACCUUUCAACUUUUUCUUUGAAUUUUGUUAGCAGAGUCCCCCUUCACAAAAUCGGAUAAGGCUUCGAAUCCUUGAUGAAUGUGGGGCUCGGAUUGAGUGAAAUCAAUCCAACGCCCCACACUCAUCCAGCAUAUCGUCUCCAAACCUUCCAAUCAUGAGAUAAAACUCGAAUUCAAGCGAGUGAGAGGGGAGGGGAAUCUUGUGUCAGAAACCGUUAGAAAUGGCAAGAUGAGAGAAGGAGGGACACGUGGGUUAAGAAUUUGGGAUUCGCUCACCCGAAUUUGGACUGAUUUGGGGUUUGGUUCGAGUGAGAACGAUGAUUCAAUAGUUUCACUUCUUUGACUUUUGGGAUUUUAGGGCUCGUUGUAUUGUUUGAUGGUAUUUUGGGCGAGUGAGGCAGGUAAGGGGAAUGAGUCAGGCAACAGGUGAGGCGUUUGGGCUGGGGAAGGAAUUGUGUUAGGAUUUUAUUUGUUGGUCUUGGCCCAAAUUCCCUUUCUCUUUUCUUUUGUUCAAUUGCUUUUUCUUCUUAUUUAAUUGCACUUAAAUUAAAACUCCUAAAAAUAAUUAAGUUACUAAAUUAAGCUAAAAACCUUGUAUAAAAUUUACAAGAAUUAGUUACUUCUAAAUAAAAGGGUUUGUUGCGUUAUAAUUAAAAGGCUAGAAAUGCAAAAGUAAACCAAUUUAUGAUUUUCAUUUUUUAAUAAAGCACAUAAUUUAAUAAUUAACCUUAAAAUGUGAAAAUAAAUCCUAAAAUGCAAAUGCGUGGUAUUUUUAUAUUUUUAAUAAUUUAGUAAAAUUGAACAUGCACGGACAAAUGCAAAAAAAAAAAGCUGCAAAAGUUUACGAAUUUGCAAAUGAUGGAAUUUUUUUUUCCGAAUUUUUGGGAUAGUUCAUAUAGGACAAAAAUUACGUGCUCACAGGUGCCCCUUUUUGUUUGGAAACACAAAACAUUUUCUUGCAAAGAUAAGUGAGCGGACACAAGCGAUUUUUGCGCGUUUGAAUACUCCGUGGGAAGAAUUUUUGAAAGGUUUGACCAUACCCUACUUCUGAAGUUGCCUACAUAUCUUUGGCUAUAAAGGAAUCAAGUCAAUGUACUUCAGGCAUGUUUGGUAGCUAGGAGUACCAUGAAAUUGUGAUUUCACUGUUUCUGUUGCUGCUGCUGUUGCUACUGCUUGCUGAACCCCUUAUUACACCAUUUAAAAAUAAAAAGAAUCUAUACUAAACUAUGAUAUAUAAAUUACAAGAAAUAUUAUCUAUAUCUUCAAACUUGAUUUUGCAGCUCUUGUUGCUUUAUUGACUUGCCUACUCCUGGUGGAAUCCCUUUGUUGCCACCUUGAAUUGUAAUGUGAGAUGUUUUCCAUUUUUCCAGAUGGAUGCCUGACUGCUGAACUCUAAAUUGUAUUCCCUUACUCUUUAGGUGGACGCCUAAUUGCCGAACUUGAAUUGUAUUCCCUUGUUCUCCAGGUGGACUCCUGAUUGCUGAACUUGAAAUGUAUUCCCUUGUUCUCCAGGUGGGCGCCUAAUUGCUGAACCUGAAAUGUAUUCUUUUGUUUUACAGGUGGGCUCCUGAUUUCAACAAAAUAGACAAAACAAAGAAAGAUUUCUGCCCUAGUUUGGUGGUUGGGCAUAGGUGUGAGGUGUAAAACUAAAUCAUGUUACAAAUAUCAGUAAGAACUUGAAAGCUAAAACUUGGAUUAUACUCCCUUAUUCUCCAGGUGGCGCCUGAUUGCCGAACUUGAAAUGUAUUCCCUUGUACUCCAGGUGGGCGCCUGAUUGCUGAACUUGAAAUGUGUUUCCUUGUUCUCCAGGUAGGCGCCUAAUUGCUGAACUUAAAAUGUAUUCCCUUGUUCUCCAGGUGGGCGCUUGAUUACUGAACUUGAAAUAUAUUCCCUUGUUCUUCAGGUGGGCUCCUGAUUUCAACAACAAUAGACAAAACAAAGAAAAUUUUCUGCCUUAUCUUGGUGGCUGGCAUAGAUGUGAGUGUCAAACUAAAUCAUGCUACCAAAUAUCAGUAAGAACUUGAAAGCUAAAACUUGAAUUGUACUCCCUUGUUCUCCAGGUGGGCGCCUGAUUGCCGAACUUGAAAUGUAUACCCUUGUUCUCCAGGUGGGCUCCUGAUUCUGAACUUGAAAUAUAUUUUUUUGUUCUCCAUGUGGGCGCUUGAUUGUUGAACUUGAAAUGUAUUACCUUGUUUUCCAGGUGAGCUCUUGAUUUCAACAAAAAUAGAUAACACAAAGAAAAUUUUCUGCCCCAAUUUGGUGGCUGGCACAGAUGUGAGUGUAAAACUAAAUCAUGUUACCAAAUAUUAGGAAGAACUUGAAAGCUAAAGCUUGAAUUAUACUCCCUUGGUCUCCAGGUGAGCGCCUGAUUACCGAGCUUGAAAUGUAUUCCCUUAUUCUUCAGGUGUGCGCCUGAUUUCUGAACAUGAAAUGUAUUCCCUUGUUCUCCAGGUGAACGCUUGAUUAUUGAGGUUGAAAUGUAUUCCCUUGUUCUCCAGGUGGGCGUUUGAUUUCAACAAAGAUAGACAAAUCAAAGAAAAUUUUAUGCCUCAGUUUGGUGGCUGGGCACAUAUGUGAGUGUAAAACUAAAUAAUGUUACCAAAUAUCAGUAAGAACUUGAAAGCUAAAACUUGAAUUAUACUCUUUUGUUCGCUAGGUGAGCGCCUGAUUGCCGAACUUGAAAUGUAUUCCCUUAUUCUCCAAGUGGAAACCUGAUUGCUGAACUUGAAUGUGUUCCAUGUUCUUCAAGCAGGUACCUGAUUACAACAAAAAUAGACAAAACAAAGAAAAUUUUCUGCCCCAGUUUGGUAGCUGGGUAAAUAUGUGAGUGUUAAACUGAAUCAUGUUACCAAAUUCUCUAAGAAUUUUAAAGCUAGAUCCCAUUAUCCAAGAUGGUCCUGACAACUCCUAAUUAAAUGAUAGUUUUAGAUCUAAGUUAUAUCUUCUAGAGGUAUUACUUCCGCUGAAUCUUGUUUUAUAAGUGGGUCUUACACCAUAUCUCAAUAUCCAGGAGGGUUCUAAAAACUCCUAGUUAAAAGACAUUUUUAUCCUAAGUUACAUCUACUGAAGGUACGACUUUCACUACCUCUUGUUAUCUAAGCAGACCUUGAAACUACGUUCCAUUAUCUAGGAUGAUCCUGAAAAAUCAAAAUCAAGUCUUAUCAUUCUUCCCUACGACAGAACUUAUGCUAAAUCUUGUUUUCUAAUGGAAAUCUUAAAGCUAAGUCUCAUUAUCAGGAGGGUCUUAACAACUCUUAAUUAAACGUCAAUUUUAAAUCUAAGUUAUAUCUUCUGGAGGUAUUACUUCCACUACAUCUUUUCAUCUAAGAAAGUAUUAAAGCUACAACCCAUUAUCCAGGAGGGGCUUGACAACUCUUAACUAACGAUUAUUUUAAAACUAAACUAUAUCUUCUAAAGGUAUACUUCCGCUAUAUCUCGUUAUCGAAGAAAAUAUUAAGGCUACGUCCCAUUAUCCAGGAGGGAGACAAUUUUAACACUAAGCUAUAUCUUCUAAAGAUGCAGCUUUCACAACAUCUUGUUAUCUAAGAAAAUAUUAAGGUUGCGUCCCAUUAUUUAGGAGGGACCUUAAAAAUUUGAAUUGAAUCUUAUCUAAAAUGAAAACUUUGAAGCCAACUUACAUUUUCUUGGGUUAUGACUUAUGCUAGAUCUUGUUACUCGUUGUUUUUAAAAUUAAGUCUCAUUUUGCAGGAGGGUCCUGGCAACUCCUAACUGAAUUCUAUCUUUAACAAAAAUUUUGAGAAAGACGUAUAUUUUUUUGGGUACAUUUAUGCUAGCUAUUGCUACUCAAGAUUUUUUUGAAUUUUAAACUGGGUCCCAUUUUUCAGGAGGGUCCUGAAAAUCAAAAUCAAGUCCUAUCUUAAGAGUGACGAUUUUACGGCUGAAUUAUGUUACCCUACAACAGAACUUACGCUACAUCUUGUUAUCCAAUAAAAAUCUUAAAGCUAGGUCCCAUUAUUCAGGAGGGUCCUUAAAACUCCUAAUUGAAUCGUAUCUUAAACAUGCAAACUUUGAAAUGUUCCGUACAUUUAUGCUAGAUUUUGCUACCCAUUUUUUUAAAACUAGGUCCCAUUUUCCAGGAUGGUCCUGAAAACUUCUAAUUAAAUCCUAUCUCAAGAAUGAAAACCUCAAAACCAACUUAUAUGCCUUUAUGGGUACAUUUAUGCUAGCUUAUGCUACUCAUGUUAUUUUGAAUUUUAAACUAGAUUCCAUUUUCUAGGAGGGUCUUGAUAACUCCUAAUUGGAUUCUAUCUCAAACAUGUCAACUUUGAAGCCAACUUAUAUUCCUUUGGGGCACAUUUAUGCUAGAUUUUACUUCUCAUGAUUGCUUUGAAUUUUAACUUAGAUACCAUUUUCCAAGAGGGUCCUAAAAAAUCUUAAAUGGAUUCUAUCUCAAACAUGUCAACUUUGAAGCCAACUUAUAUUCCCUUGGGUACAUUUAUGCUAGAUUUUACUAAAUCGUGAUUGUUUUGAAUUUUAACCUUGGUACCAUUUUUCAGGGGGGUCCUAAAAACGUACAGGCAUACUUGUCUGAUACUUGCUUUUCCUUUAUGGAGGGUUUCUCCGAAACAAAUGAAAUUCUUUGCCCUUGUUUCAAUCAAAGAAAAAUCUUGUCAGUCUAAACAUGGUGGUUGGUUUGUGGUCUUGGGCUUGAAGGACGAUUUCUCUUUCACUUCCUGUGGUAUCCUUGGUUUCAACUCGAAAGACCUUUCCUGUUUAUUGACUGACCACUUUCUCUAUUAUCUUUAUCACGGAAAAUACCUUUUCUUCGUUCAGACCCAAUAUCUCUAUUUGUUGCAUUGCUCAUGAACUGGCAUCUACCCAACAUUUGUGUCUCACAUGAAUCCCAAAGCACGUACAUUGCCCACCACUCCCCGUGUAUGCUAUUAUUUCUUGACUUAAUCCACAUGCCUUGGCCUUGAGGUUUGUUGCUCCUUCACUUGCCAUGAUAACAGAUUUCCAUUCGAAGUGCUUGCUUGUUCCUUGACUAACCAAUUCUUUUGUCACCCUUAACACAAAAAAUACCUCUUAUCCGUUCAAACCCAAUACCUUCUAUCUGUUGAAUUGCUUGUGAACUAACAUUUACCAACCUUUGUGUCUCACAUGAACCGCAAAGCACGACACUUGUCACCCCAUCAUUGCGUAUGCUGUUAUUUCUUGACUUAAACAAGUAGUCAUGUCCUUGAGGUAUAUGACUCCCUCAUUUGCCAUGAUAACUUUUAUUUCUGCUUGGAAGGUCUUGCUCAUCACUAGUUUACCACCCUUUUUUCAAUCUUAUCACUGGAAAUACCUUUGAUCUGUUUACCCUAACCCUUCAUCUGUUGCAUUGUUCAUAAAUUCAUAUAUACCCAGCCUUUGCAUUUCUUAAGGAUACCAAAGCAUGUUGAUUGUUACCAGCUCAGUGUGCUUGCUGUUCUUUCCUGACUUAUGACGCUUUGAUAUGUUAACUAGAUCAUGUUUUGUGCAAUUGGAAAGCUGGUGGCUAAUUUUGAAGUCAUUUCUCACUUGUUCUGACCAAGCAGACAUAGGAAGAGGAAGUGAACAAUACAAAAUGAACAGAGUAGAGGACAAUGGAAAGAGAAGAUUCCUAACAAGAAAACUAUAAAGUAGCAACCUAUCGGAUGUGGAUACCAACUCUAAUGACCAUGACAUGCACCUGCGGCCUAUUAUGUUAAGCAAAUAUGAUGUUUAGCUCCUGUUAUACCCCCAAACAGUGAAAUUAGGCUUCGAUGCUCUGUCGUUAGUCAUCUUUCACAAUCUCCGCCUGGUGAUUUUCUAUUUAAUUUUCAGUCCUUAUUUGACUUGUAGUGCCCGGAGGGUUUUCACCAUCAAGCCUCUCUCCUUUUGUUCUUUCUCUCAACUUACAGUCACCUCAAGGUGCCCGUGAAGGGUUUCACCAAUAAGACUCUCUAAUUUUUGAUUUCUCUCAACUCCUAUUGCCUUACGGUGCCCGCGAGGUUUUUCACCAAUAAGACUCUCUCAUUUUCAUUAUUGUUUCUGCUUGGACCGGAGUGUUGCCCCUGACAUGAAUUACCUCUACUUGCUCGACUUGACAUCUCUCGAAGACUGAUCAGAAGGUCUUUCUUUGGAUCGUAAUGUGGGGUUUUGGAUAUGUUAGAAAGGUUAUUAAAGGCUCAAAACAAUUCAAAUGGGUUGAAAAUUACAACUUUCAGAAUCAAAUAUCUUACAAUAACCAAAAUUUCUUCCCCAGUUUCUUGCUUGGGGACUUUUGGAUUUUUAUUUUGAUAGGACCGAAUCGUGAGGCUUCCUACAUGUCCUUAAAAGGAAUCAGGUCGAACGUAGUUCAUGCCAUAGAAAUUACUUUAUUUUGUUUUGAUUUUCUCAUUUCUAUUUCUUUUCUUUCUUUCCUUAUUUUUGUUGUUGUUUUCCUUCUCUUUUCUUUUUUUCUCUCUCUUUUAAUUCUUUUCCUUUUCUUUUUUUUUUCUUACUUAUCUUUCAUGCUCGUGUUUCUAAUCUUUAAUACUGAUUUCAAAAGAGGUGUAUGAAAGAAAAUAAAUAAGGCUCAAAGGGGUAACAAAGGAUAAAGUGCUUAGAUAGCAGCACCUCGUCAUUCCAAUCUUCAAAACAUGCCAGGUACAAACAACGCAAUUAAACAAAUCAUAGAAAACAAUCAUAACAUCUUAUGAUUGUACCAGACUUGAUAACCAUAUCCACACAUUCGCCUUCUACAUUUGUUAAAUAUAAAGCACUAUUGAACAACACUCUCGCUCUCCUUGCCACAAACGACCCCUGUCAAAUUGGGAAAACUUGCCUUUAGCUUCAACCCGAUACGACAUGAUGCAUUUAAAUAGGGUUUUUUUUAUGUUCUAUAUGCCCCAGUUUCACACAGUUUUGGCUUGAAGUGAUCUCAAAAUGCCUUUACUUAUUUUCCUUAAAUGUACCUAUUGAACAUUGUUUUACUGCUUCAUGACUAAACUGAAUUUUAUAACCGGGCUGAGAUUUACGCGUGAAUGUCAUGUCACUAGAGUCAAUAGAAAAAGAACCAUAAAAAGAAAAGAGAACUAAAUGAAAAUGACUAGAAAUUACAAAAAACAGAAAAUUGCAUUAGACAGAUGGUGAAAGGGUUUGGACAACAAAACAAGCAAACAAUCUAGGGAAAAUGAACAGACAAAAGGGUUUGAGUCACAUGAUAAUAUCCAAAUUACAAUCCUAAAAUAACCUAGGCAACAAAAAUGACGACAAAUAAACCACCAAAACUCCACUCCAGCUGACCAAGAAAUGGAACGUCACGACAUCUUAAUCACUAAGUUUCCCAUCAAUAUUUCCAAGACCAUUAUCAACUUUAAUCAACAAGUUCCCGAGAGGAUUCACAUGCUCCCUGUAACUGUCAUUGACAACAACUACCCCUUCUUGAAUCAUUAUUUCUAUUUUCCUUUUCAAAGAGCGACAAUAUUCAAUGCUAUGCCUCUGGACAUUAGAGUGGUACAUGCAUCAAGUAGGUGGAUAAAAGCCUUUCGCAUAUGGGUCUGGAAUAUAGCCGAGGAGCGACUCAAUCAUGCCAGAAUGCUUUAACUUUUCAAACAAACUUGUAUAGGAUUCUCCGAUAGGCAUGAAAUUAUCUUUUUGUCUUUGUUUCCUUCCAUGCCUCAGUUAUUUAGGAUUAUUAGAUGCUUGAAAAUGUUUGAAAGGCACACAUGAAUUUUAGGAUGCCGGUGCUCGGCCUAGGGAGUGACCUGGUGGUUGGACAGGCCAGAUGUUGUUCAACAGAUAAUACCGGGGAGGCUUAUGUGGAGUUUGGGGAUAAUGCUGAGGUGGGUUAUGUGGGGAUUGUUGGGGUUGAAGUUAAGGCUGAAUACGUUUAGAAAGGACGACCACUGGACCCUGUCAUCGGCGAGGCUCACUGAUAUCCUUCCUAUCAAUGGGAGGACCAUCCCGGGCAACUUGUUCAUUCCAUCUAAGCCAAAAAUCCUUAAAACUUUCCUUGGGUUUCUCUUGCAUCCGAGAUAGGGAGGAGUGGUCAAGGACAAAGUUUAUAUUGUACUGAAAGCGUCGAACAAAAUCUUGACCCAUGUCACCUAAUGUAGACCACUUAGCAACAUCUUGAGAAGUAUGCCAGUCCAAAGCUGCCUCAGUCAGGCUCUCACUGAAAUACACCAUCAUCACGUCAUCUUUCUCUCCAACACUUCUCAUUUCAGUGCAGUAAAACUUAAGGUGGGAUAUCGGAUCUCCACACCUAUCAUACAAGUUAAAUUUUGGUAUCUUAGACCCCGCAGACAGGGGAAUGUCAGGGGACACAGACACUUCUUUGUAAGCCAUGUUACCCCGGUCCCCCAUUCCUUGCCUGAUCUUUAGGGACUGUUAUACACUUUUCAACUCACUAGAUAUCCCAUAUCGCCCUUCUUUUCCUGUCACCUUUUCAUUUUCACCAUGAAGCGCAUACCGAUGGCUCUUUUUGUAUGAGUCAGGAACCUUGUGGGCAACCUCUAAGGGGUAAUAUUGGCAUCAUGAGCUUUGAGUAGGUAUUCAUUGUUGGAGGUAUGAGGGAAAUUUUGGGGAGAGGUAAUUGGAGGAUGAGUGAGGGAGCUACUGGGGUGAUUGGGAAGUGCCAAAGUUUGGGUAAAGAUAGCAUCUAAGAAGCCAGGUGGUGGCAAGGGUGGUACCUUCCCAUCCAUCCAGUCCCGAUACAUGUCCGCCAUGUGUUGUCUUAGCAUCUUUACCUCCUCAACCAACCCAUUGGCCUGUUCAACCACUUGCUUUUGGGCACCGGUAUCAACCAACUCAGUUAUGUUAUUAUCUGUCAUUGCCUUUUGACUUUGUGUUGUGGAGAGGAACUACCAUUUUAAAAACCUCAAACCAACCACCCAUAUGCUUUAUAGCAAAAUGAGGUCAUCACGUUUGCAUUAUGGCAUUUAAUAGCUACAAUAUCACAUUGCGUGCGAUGUACCUAGUCAUAGCUAUCGGUUCUAACAUGACUGUAUGAAGGUCAUAUGGCAUCAUCCCAAUUUGUUCAUUUCAAUCCUCUCCUUCCUUUGCUUUUCUAGCACUUUUUGGCUUGCUCACUUUCCUUCCCCUUUUCUUUCUGACUACCGCUUUUUUCUUCCCUCUCGUUUCUCGCAUCCUAUAAUUUUACCUUUUUUUCUUUUUUUCUUCCUUUAAAUAAUACAAAAAUGAUUCAAUUGAUCCCUAUGUAGGUUACCUACGUAUCAUGACCCCGCAUGAAUCAGAUCUUUGCGUAAUUCGAAAAAAAUCGAGAAUAGAUUAAACAAACUGAUGUCCUCUUUUUUUCUUUUUCUUUUUCGUUUUUUUACCUUAAUGACUACUCUGACGAGAAAAGAGAAUAGAAGAAAUCCCCUUUUUGAAUUUUCUAGGCUUAAUAUUCUAUAACCUAUUCCAAACUCAAGCUUAACGAGCAUAUAUAUUUUUUCUUUUUCUUUUUGAAACAAACACUCUAAGGGAAAUUAUUAAGGAAAAACCUUAGAAGAGAAAAAAUAAUUUUUGAUUCUUUUUUUUAAGAAGAAAAGCUAAAGAAUAAACCAAAUAAAAAUAUUUUGGAUUUUCAUUUGAUAUCCUGAUGCCAUAUUUCGAAACAAGCAAUGAAGAAUAUAAAACAAAAUAUUUUUGGAUUUUAAUUUUGAUUUCCCAAAGAAUAAUUUCUAUUGAUAAACAAAAAAUAAAGUUUGUUUUUUUCUAUGAAUAAUAUCCUAAAGUUCUAAUAAAAAUAAAAAAGAUUGUUUUUUCAUUUUUCACCAUUAAUUUCCCAAAGAAGAACCUCAAAAUAUUUUUUUUUAGAUUUUUGGAAUUAAUAUCUUGAAAAAAAACUUUUAAAGAGGUACUAAAUGAAAAUUCUCGUCUUUUCUUUUUUGAAUUUUUGGUCUUAAUGUACUAAAAGAAAAUGUAAAAGUAAUUUUAAUUUUAAUUUUAAGUUCUAGAUAUUCAUUACCUAAAGAAAACCACAAGUGAUUUUUGCACUUUUGAGUUAGUAUUCAAAAAAAAUAUCCAACAGAAAUAUAAAAGCGCAAAAUAUCUCUUUUUUGGAUUUUUGACUUAUUACCCAUCCUAUCAUAUUGCUAAUAUUCCUUCACUAACUUGGUUCUUAUCCGAAGAAUCUGGAGGCUGAACUUUGCUUUUGUUCACCAUACGAGAAAAUCCAUAGCCUAGAGACUUCCACUAGUUUCACAUAGCUCAGUAAGAUCAGAGAGG